UGGGGAAUUUUGGACAAUGGGGGAAACCCUGAUCCAGCCAUCCCGCGUGUGCGAUGAAGGCCUUCGGGUUGUAAAGCACUUUUGGCAGGAAAGAAACGUCAUGGGUUAAUACCCCGUGAAACUGACGGUACCUGCAGAAUAAGCACCGGCUAACUACGUGCCAGCAGCCGCGGUAAUACGUAGGGUGCAAGCGUUAAUCGGAAUUACUGGGCGUAAAGCGUGCGCAGGCGGUUCGGAAAGAAAGAUGUGAAAUCCCAGAGCUCAACUUUGGAACUGCAUUUUUAACUACCGGGCUAGAGUGUGUCAGAGGGAGGUGGAAUUCCGCGUGUAGGAGUGAAAUGCGUAGAUAUGCGGAGGAACACCGAUGGCGAAGGCAGCCUCCUGGGAUAACACUGACGCUCAUGCACGAAAGCGUGGGGAGCAAACAGG
rnacentral:rRNA from 1 species